rnacentral:lncRNA from 1 species
AGGAUGGCGGCCGGAAGCUCAAGGUUGACGCCUGGUUCGGCACCCGCCGCACCAUGGCCGCCAUCCGCACCGCCAUCUCCCACGUCCAGAACCUCAUCACCGGCGUCACCAAGGGCUUCCGCUACAAGAUGCGCUUCGUCUACGCCCACUUCCCCAUCAACGCAUCCAUCACCGCAGCCAACCGCGGCAUCGAGAUCAGGAACUUCCUCGGAGAAAAAAAGGUGCUUUCGUUUUUUCCCUUACCGACCAUUUCAGAUCGAGAUUCAGUGGUUUUAUGAUGCUAUGAGCUGUUCUAUGCAUAGAAAAUGUGUUCUUUUCCUUUAGUCGCAGCGGAAAACUUGUGGAUAGUGCAGCUCUGUAAACUAUUUGUCUGAUAGUGUAGUAUUUCAUUCAACAGAAUCGACUGGACUAAUUUAAAGGCAGUAAAAUCUUCGUUCAAUUACCAUUCAAGUAUAUAUGUUGUGCCUAUGGCUUUUUACAUUUCUUUCUGCCUCUGUUAUAGAAUCAUGCAUAUGAAUGAAUGAAAUCUCUUCACCUUUGGUUGGGAUCAUUGAUGUCAAUAGUGCAGCUUUGAUCCCCCAAUGCCAAUGUUCCCAGAACAGAGGUCACUAGCAUUAUGUACUCUAGUGUUUGCAGGGUAAUUGGCCCAUAGUGCUACCUAAAACAAAACUUGAGUGUUCUAUGCCACUUUUGACAUUGAACGUUUGUGAUGUCCUGUUUGGCUUUUAUCUCGUGUGACGCCCCUAUAUACGUGCACUGUUCAAGUCAUGUAUGAAAUAUACUGAUGUUCUUACUUUCCUUUUAAAAGGUAAGGAAAGUCGACAUGCUUGACGGUGUGACGAUCCUGCGGUCUGAGAAGGUCAAGGAUGAGAUUGUCCUUGAUGGCAACGACAUUGAGCUCGUCUCUCGCUCUGCUGCCUUGAUCAACCAGGUUAGGGUCAUUGCCUUUGUGCUUCUCAUACUGUAAACUUGCGUCAUAGGUUUUGUGUUCUGUAUAUCAUCUUAUAAUGUUUCCACUUUAGAUACAGUGUAUAUCAAGGUUUGGUAUUCUGCACUUGUCACAUUUGCCCUUGUUUGUUCACAGCGAUUUGAUUCACUGGAACACCCAUUAGUAUACAAGUGAAUCAUGUGCAUGUAUUAUCUGAUUGAGUGAACGAUUACUCGGUACCAUGUUGCACUUGCAGCAUGUGUUGUAUCUUGAUAUUGCAGUGAUGAUCUUCUCUAUGCUGACCAUUGAUGUUUCGUGUUUUUUCUUGAACCAGAAAUGCCACGUGAAGAACAAGGACAUCAGGAAGUUUUUGGAUGGUAUCUACGUUAGCGACAAGGGCGCCAUCAAGGAAGAGUAGGGGUGCGACCUAUCUGCCGCAAGCCCUUUGUAGCUGGUAACAGAAACUGUCCUAGAGGAGGGUGGGUGGUUUUUUUGGGGCAAUCACAUGGGUUGGCUGCAAUUUGUACUGGAGAUAGAUCAGGGAUGUCCUGGAACUGGAGAAGGGGGUUCCUUGAAGAUGCAUAUUUCACCGGUUGAUAUGACGUCUUGUUAUCUGCCGCUAUGUUUUGUUUGCUUAGGCAUGCCAAAGGGAGAAGAACAAGUGAUUGACGUGUUUUAAGCUGAAAUAGGUAAACUCGGAGCAAGGCACUUGAAAUUUCAUCCCUAGUCAGGCAAGGUUCAUACAAUCAUUUUUAUGUGAACAUGCCUGGCGAUGGAUCCAAUGUUGACGGCGCAACUAAAUUUGAUAGAGUGGAUUGAAAUAUCUGGUGUGACAGAGGUUACAACUUCGAACGCAAUGAUGUUAUAUACAACAACAGCGUGAAAUAGAUAUUUUGCACUGUGUGUUUGAACACUUCAGUUUCUCACUGCAGUUUGAUGACUAAGAGCAUCAUUAGUAGUGCACUCAAACCAGUUUUAAGGGUUGAGAAUUUGCAUUUUUUUUAUACUUUUAAGAAUUGAACAACAGGGGUAAAGACUAGAAGCCUCAAACCCUACAACAAAAACAAGGACAAAAACAGAAGAGCUCGGGGUGGUGCGGCUGCCUCGCCUUUUGCGUGGUGGCGAGGACAGCUCGAGGAGGCCGGCCUUCCUCGGGUUGGUUUGAGGGUUGGAUUCUCAAUUUUUUUUAAGAGUUAAAAAUUAGGCUCUCCAAAGGGAGCUCCUAUUACGCACCUUGGAGACCAACUUUAGCACCGUGGAGACCAACUGGCGCUCACUGCAGCGCAAAAAAAACUCGCUCAAAAAGUUGAGCUCAAGAAUAUAAGAACAAAUGUGGCCGUGAUAUUUAUUGCACAAUACCAUCUACAACACUUUGAUUUUUGAAUUAUUUGAAAAAAUUCAUUAAUUUGAAGGUGUAUAUUGAUUUUUUUAAAAAAUCAUAAAUUUGUAAAAAAAUUUCACAACAACAACAACCAAGCCUUUCAGUCCCAAAAAAGUUGGGGUAGGCUAUAGUUAAAACCUAUAAGAUCUCGAAUCCAAGUCAUGGCUCUUGAACGUGGAUAGCUUAAGAAAAUUUCACAAACUUAAAAAAUUCAUUAAUUUUGAAAAUAGUUUCAUGGAAAAACCGAAAAAGUUUAUCAAGUUUGGAUGUAAAGUUUCUUAAUUUUUAAAAAUGUUCAUAAAUUUGGAAAAGUUCAUCGUUUUCUUAAAUCUCAUUGAAUAUGAAUUUGUUAUUGAUUACAGAAAUAAGUACAUCAAAUUUAAAAAAACUUUAUCAAAAUUUUAAAAAGGAUCAUCGGAUUGAAAAAUGAUAAUUAGUUUUUAAAAUAGUUUACCAUUUUUUGUAAAAGUUCAGUGAUUUUGAAUAAAAAAGCUCGUAAAAUUUGAAAAAGGUUCAUCGAAAUUGUUUAUCCAAUUGAAAAAAGGUCAUCGGAUUUGGAAAAGGUAAUCAUGUAUAGUUGAUUUCCGUUCAAUGUUUUAAUGAUAUGUUAUGUUGUUCUUGUUACUCGCGUCGUGUGAAUGUUGAGUACAUAAUACUUUAUCAUCUUUGGAUUUAGAGGGAAACAUUGUGGAAUUAGUUUGUAAAUGUUGGGUUGCAGGAGGGACUGAAACCUAAAUCCAGUUUAUGAAUUGUUUCAUAAGGGGCUGCUAUAGUUUAAUUUAAUGCUAUGGUUAGAUUUAAUUUAAUUAUUGCUCUUCUAUUUACGGACGCUUGCAUGGAGGGCUUAAUCAUAAUAGGUCUUUGUUUAAGUAAGAAUAACACCUUGGUUUCAGUUCACCCAUAUAAGAACUUAUUAAAGCAAUGAACGCGACUCCAUAGAUCAUGGUGAAAGUAUCUAGAGAAAACUUUAGCAACAAUAAAGAUUUGACCAUCUUGAUGUACCUUGUUACUUGCUAUCGAUUAUCUUGCUAUCAAACUAUCUAUCAAAACUAUCUUACAACACUUUAAAAGAAUACCUUGCUGAAAACCAUUUAUCAAUUCCUUCUGCUCCACAUUGGAUUUAACACUCUUACUUAUUGAAAGGACUACGAUUGAUUCCCAAUACUUGCGGUCAUCACCGAGAAGACUAUGUAAUCGACGGAUACGUCUCCACUACAACGUUGACACCAUAGACCUCAUCUCGUUCUUUGACAUGGAGGGUAGUGAGAACGAGGUUAUGUCCAUUGCACGCACCAAAGCCCAGGAAGAACUCCCAGCCCGAGUUGCGGAGGUCAAAGACGCGAGCCGACCUCAACUCCAGCACCGACCUCGGGUGCGGAGGAGGCCCCAUGGGCCAUCACUCUUUAGUAGGUCAUGAUGACGGCAUUGGGUGGUACUUCAUGAUCACUAGCGACCACAAUCAUACCGAACACGAGCAGAGCCACGACAACGCAUGGAGGGCUUUCUGUCCCUCCCCGGCUUCUGAACCGAUGGUUAUCGCCCCAAUAGCGCCGCCGACACGUGCCUCGCUCGGACACCAUGUGGGCACCUUCAAAACCACCGACUUCUCAUUUUUUGACACUAGGAGAGUAGUAAGAACAACUCCAUCGUGCCGACCAUUUCACCCGCGCGUGUCUGUUUGUGUCAAAAUGGACACAAAAGUCGGUCCAACACGCCUACCCAAACGGACACGCACCUAGCCAAACGGACACGCGCCCACUUUAUGUCCGUUGCGCGACCCAUUUCAUGCCCAAAUUUGGGUCAUGUUUGUCUCGACGAGGACACAAAACGAAUGCACGCGACGCCCGCGUAGUUCUUGAUUUGUACGUGGGCCCCCAUUUAGGUCGGUGCUUGGAUGAACAUGAUGUUCGGCGUGGGCUAUUUUGAAUAUGAUCUCGUACAUCAAUAAAUGAAUUGGAUGGGCCCGCAUGCAGACGCAGGUAUCUGUGUUCCGCCCGUCGACCCCUACCUAUAGCACACCAGAAACACAGGUGCUUUCGCCAUGGAUGUCCUGGAGUUCUUCUUCAACGACUGCUCUCGAUGCAUGGUAAUGUUCCAUUGGAUUUGAUUUGGUGUGUGCUCCUUACACUAGCGGGGUUGUUCUGGAUUUGGAUGGCAGUGGUUUGGGUUGGUGAUUUUUCCUUUUUGCUCACCUAAGAACAUAUCUGAUGUUGUAAAUAUGCCCUAGAGGCAAUAAUAAAGUAGUUAUAAUUAUAUUUACUUGUUCAUGAUAACCGUUUAUUAUCCAUGCUAGAAUUGUAUUGACUGGAAACUCAAAUACAUGCGUGGGUACAUAGACAACAUUGUGUCCUAGUGAGCCUCUAAUGGACUAGCUCGUUGAUCAAAGAUGGUCAAUGUUUCCUGGCCAUAGACAUGAGUUGUCAUUUGAUGACGAGAUGGCAUCAUUAGAAGAAUGAUGUGAUGGACAAGACCCAAACUAUGAACGUAGCGUAUGAUUGUGUGAGUUUAUUGCUAUUAUUUUAUGCAUGUCAAGUAUAUGUUCCUACCAUCAUGACAUCAUGCAAUUCACUCACACCGGAGGAGUACCUUGUGUGUAUCAAACGUCGCAAUGUAACUGAGUGACUAUAAAGGUGCUCUACAGGUAUCUCACAGGGUGUCUGUUGAGUUGGCGUGGAUCUAGACUGGAUUUGUUACUCCGUGUGAUGGAGAGGUAUCUCAGGGCCCACUCGGUAAUACAACAUCACAAUGAGCUUGAAAGCAAUGUGACUAAAGAGUUAGCCACGUGAUCUUGUAUUACAGAACGAGUAAAGAGACUUGUCGAUAACGAGAUUGAACUAGGCAUGGAGAUACCAACAAUCGAAUCUCGGGCAAGUAACAUAACGAUUAACAAAGGGAACUACGUAUGGGAUUAAUUAAUCCUUGACAUCGUGGUUCGACUGAUAAAGAUCUUCGUAGAAUAUGUGGGAAUCAAUAUGGACAUCACGGUCCCGCUAUUGGUUAUUUACCGUAGAGGUGUUUUGGUCAUGUCUGCAUAGUUCUCGAACCCGCACGGUCUACACACUUAACGUUCAGUGACAAUAUAGAUGUAGUUGAGCUAUAGUUUUGGUACCAAAGGUUGUUUGGAGUCCCAGAUGAGGCCCCAGACGUCACGAGGAUCUCCGAAAUGGUCCAUAGGUAAAGAUUUAUAUAUAUGAAAGUGGUAUUCGUGUUCCGGAAUAGUUUCGGUCUUUUCCGGUAUUGUACCGGGAGUGUCGAAAGGGUUCUGGGGGUCCACCAGGAGGGCCCCACCCACCCAUGGGGGCUAUAUGGGCCUAAGAGCUGGCACACCAACCCCUAGUGGGAUUGGGAAGCCGACCCCAAGAGGUGCCUUGGUGGAGGAUGAGUCCUCCCUAGGGUGUCCACAUCCCUUGUGGGAGGACUCCUCCCCACUUCGGCCAACACACCCUCCUUGGAGGAGUGGCCAAGGAUAAGCCCUACCCACUCCUUCCUCCUAUAAAUAUAGAGGAGAGGGAGGCAGCCAACACACAAUUGCUUGGUAGCGCCCUACCUCUCUCUCUCUCGUAGUAAUUCUCCACCAUAGCGAUCGUGGUAGCGCUUAGCGAAGCCCUGCUGAAAUUGCACCACCACCGCCACCACCACGCCGUUGUGUUGUCGGAGUACUCAACCUCUACUUCACCAUCGCUCGCUGGAUCGAGGAGGUGAAGGCAUCAUUGAACUAUAUGUGUGUUGAACGCGGAGGUGCCGUCCGUUUGACGCUUGACCGGGAGUUUGUGGGACGGUUCAUGAUUGGAUCGCGAAUACAUUACACUACAUCAACCGCGUUCUUUAAUGCUUCCGCCUAGCGAUCUACAAGGCUGUGUAUAUGCAAUCUCUCCUCUCCUAGAUGGUCAUCUCCUAGAUUGAUCAUUUUUUUGUUUCCCAUGCAACGUUCCCCAACAGUGGAAUCAUGAGCUAGGUCUAUGAGUAGAUGACAUCACGAGCAGAACACAAAGGAGUUUGUGGGCGUUGAUAUUCAGAUUGCUGCCCUCCUUAGUCUUUUCUUGAUUCGGCGGUAUUGUGGGAUGAAGCGGCCCGGACCAACUUUACUCGUUCCUGUACGAGAGACCGGUUCCAUCGACUCACAUGUAACUUUGUUGCAUAAGAUGGCUGGCGGGUGUCUGUCUCUCCCACCUUAGUUGAAUCGGAUUCUGUUGGGUAACGUAGAAUAAAUUCAAAAUUUUUCCUACGCAUAUUCAGAUCUUCCUAUGGAGAGACCAGCAACGAGAGAGGGGUGAGUGCAUCUUCAUACCUUUGAAGAUCGCUAAGCGGAAGUGUUGGGGAUAUUGCUUAUUAAGUGACCCGCCCAAUAUGGGCCGGGUUACUAGUAAGGUGAUUCAUCCUUUGGGCUAUUUGGGCCUCAGCCUGGGCGGUUCAAGGCCGCGGGACGGUUAUGAUUUAUGGAAGGUCUUUGGGUUUUGCAAGAUGGCGACUUAGAGACCGCGGUGGUCAUGAUUUGUAAGGAGGAAGGGACUCUUGUAAACCCUAAAGCCUCGACCUAUAUAUAAAGGCGAGUCGGAAGGAGGAGGGGGAGUUAGAAAAUCAUCGAGUGCUAGGUUAGGCGAGUUACGCCUCCCUUGUAAUUGAAUCCACAUCAAUACACACAAAGCAGGACGUAGGCUAUUACCUCCUCUCGAGGGGCCGAACCUGGGUAACCCGCCGUGUUCCUCCCGUUUAACUCCUUUGAGUCGCCACCAAGGUGCGAUGGUUCCCGUACUAAGUCCUUCCACGAGGACAUCUGCCGUGACAAAACCACGACAGGAAGCCUUACUAGAACGCAGUUGAUGGAGUCUUACUCGCGGCGAUUCAGAUCGUGGUGUGAUUCCGAUCUAGUGCCGAACUACGGCACCUCCGCGUUCAACACACGUGCAGCCCGGUGACGUCUCCCGCACCUUGAUCCACCAAGGAGGAGGGAGAGGUUGGGGAAGAACUCCAGCAGCAUGACAGCAUGGUGUCGAUGGAGAGACGAGGUCUCCUGGCAGGGCUUCGCCAAGCACCGGUAGAGAGGAGGAGAAAGAAGGGCAGGGCUGCGCCGAGGGAGAGGGAAAAGUCUAUCUCAAAACAGCCCCAAACCUCAACUGUAUAUAGGGGAGAGGGAGGGGGUGCAGCCCUUAGGGUUCCCACCCCCAAGGGGUGCGGCAGCCCCCAUCUGCGCCAGGAGGUGGCGACCAGGAGGGGAGGAGGGGUGUGGCGCACCCCGUAGUGGGCCUUAGGCCCACCUGGCUUAGGGUUUGCCCCCCUUUCCUCUCCCAUGCGCCUUGGGUUGAGUGGGGGGGGUCGCACUAGCCCACCUAGUGGGCUGGUUCCCUCCCCCACUUGGCCCAUCUAACCUCCCGGGGUCGUUGCACCCCUUCGGUGGACCCCUGGGGCCACCUCCGGUGGUCCCGGUGGUCCCGGUACGUUACCGGUGAUGCCCGAAACACUUCCGGUGUCCGAAACCAUCCGUCCUAUAUAUCAAUCUUUACCUCCGGACUAUUCCGGAGCUCCUCGUGACAUCCGGGAUCUCAUCUGGGACCCCGAACAACUUUCGGUAACCUCGUAUAACAAUUCCCUAUAACCCUAGCGUCAUCGAACCUUAAGUGUGUAGACCCUACGGGUUCGGGAGACACGCAGACAGGACCGAGACACCUCUCCAGCCAAUAACCAUCAGCGGGUUCUGGAUACCCAUGGUGGCUCCCACUUGCUCCACGAUGAUCUCAUUGGAUGAACCACGAUGUCAAGGAUUCAAUCAAUCCCGUAUACAAUUCCCUUUGUCUGUCGGUAUAGAACUUGCCCGAGAUUCGAUUGUCGGUAUACCUAUACCUUGUUCAAUCUCGUUACCGGUAAGUCUCUUUACUCGUUCCGUAGCACGUCAUCGUGUGACUAACUCCUUAGUCACAUUGAGCUCAUGAUGAUGUUCUAUCGAGUGGGCCCAGAGAUACCUCUCCGUUACACGGAGUGACAAACCCAACAGAUACUUUCGGAGGUACCCGUAGUGCACCUUUAUAGUCACCCAGUUACGUUGUGACGUUUGAUACACCCAAAGCACUCCUACGGUAUCCGGAAGUUGCACAAUCUCACGGUCGAAGGAAAAGACACUUGACAUUAGAAAAGCUUUAGCAUACGAACAAUACGAUCUAGUGCUAUGCUUAGGAUUGGGUCUUGUCCAUCACAUCAUUCUCCCAAUGAUGUGAUCCCGUUAUCAAUGACAUCUAAUGCCCAUGACCAGGAAACCAUGAUCAUCAAUUGACUAACGAGCUAGCCAACUAGAGGCUUGCUAGGGACACAUUGUGAUCUAUUUAUUCACACAUGUAUUACUGUUUCCUGUUAGUACAAUUAUAGCAUGAACAAUAGACGAUUAUCAUGAACAAGGAAAUAUGAUAAUAACCAUUUUAUUAUUGCCUCUAGGGCAUAUUUCCAAUAGAUUCGACAAAGGCGGUCCUUGUAGAACGUUAAAUAACAACUUGCGUAUCACCAUUGUGGUUUUGCGUAGGUAAGAAGCAUUCUUGCUAGAUACCCGUAGCAACCACAUAAAACACGCAACAACAAAUUAAAGGACGUCUAACUUGUUUUGAAGGGUAUGUUGUGAUAUGAUAUGAACAAAUACAUGAUGAUAUAUAUUUGAUGUAUGAAAUGAUCAUGUUGUAAUAAUUAAUAUCGCCUUGCAUGUUAAUGCACACGGCAACCGACAGGAGUUAUAGGGUUGUCUUUAAUUAUUGUAUGACCUGCAUAUCAAUCAUUAAGCUCUAUGUAAUGCUUUAGUUUAUUGCUAAACGGUAGCUAAAGUAGUAGAAGCAUGGUUGGUGCGAUAACCCUGACGGCAACACGAUGAUGGAGAUCAUGGUGUCAUGCCGUUGACGAUGGAGAUCAUGCCCGUGCUUUCGAGAUGGAGAUCAAAAGCACAAGUUCAUGGCCAUAUCAUGUCACUUAUGAUUUGCAUGUGAUGUUAAUCCUUUUAUGCACCUUGUUUUGCUUCGGACAUCGGUAGCAUUAUAAGGUGAUCCCUCACUAAAAUUUCAAGAUAAAAUUGUGCUCUCCUCGAGCGUACACCGUUGCGAAAGUUAGUCAUUUCGAAGCAACACGUGAUGAUCGGGUGUGGUAGACUCUACGUUCGCAUACAACGGGUGCAAUCCAGUUUUGCAUGUGCGGAACACUCGGGUUAAACUUGACGAGCCUAGCAUGUACACACAUGACCUCGGAACACAAGAGACCGAAAGGUCGAACACGAGUCAUAUAGUAGAUAUGAUCAACAUGAAGAUGUUCACCAUGGAAACCACCUCAUCUCACGUUAUGAUCGGACUUGGGUUGGGGAAUUUGGAUCAUGUAACACUCGAAUGACUAGAGGGAUGUCAAUUUGAGUGGGAGUUUUUAGUGAUAUGAUUAACUAAACUCAUUAUCUUGAACAAUAGUCUAAGUAAUCUUUGCAUAUCUAUGUUGUAGAUCAAAGUCUCGUGUAGUAGCACCCCUGAAUCUUAAUGCGUUCCUAGAGAAAGCCAAGCUGAAAGAUGAUGGAAGUAACUUUGUAGACUAGGUCCGUAAUCUGAGGAUUGUCCUCACAGUUUCCCAAAAGGCUUAUGUCCUUGAUGCACCGCUUGGUGCGGCACCCCCUCCAGAGUCGUAUGAAGACGUUAUGAGCGUCUGGCAUGCGCGUUCUGAUGACUACUCAAUAGUUCAGUGUGCAAUCUUGUAUGGCUUAGAACCGGGACUUGAAAUACGUUUUGAACAUCAUGGAACAUAUGCGAUGUUCCAAGAGUUGAAGUUUUUUUUGAAAGAAUGCCCUGAUCGACAUGUAUGAGACCUCCGAUAAGUUCUUUGCUUGCAAGAUGGAGGAGAACAGGUCUGUCAGUGAGCACAUACUCAAAAUGUGUGGGUAUUCCAACCGUCUGGCUGAGUUGGGAAUUGUUCUCCCACCAGAGAUGAUCACUGAUAGAGUUCUUCAAUCACUGCCACCUAGCUACAAAAGCUUUUGGGCAUCCCUAGAGGCAAUAAUAAAGUAGUUAUUAUUGUAUUGCCUUGUUCAUGAUAAUCGUUUAUUAUCCAUGCUAGAAUUGUAUUGAUUGGAAACUCAAAUACAUCUGUGGGUACAUAGACAACACUGUGUUCCUAGUGAGCCACCAAUGGACUAGCUCGUUGAUCAACGAUGGUCAAGGUUUCCUCACCAUAGACAUGAGUUGCCAUUUGAUAACAGGAUCACAUCAUUAGAAGAAUGAUGUGAUGGACAAGUUCCAAACUAUGAACGCAACUAUUGUUUUCUGCAUGUCAUGUAUAUGUUCCUAUGACCAUAAGAUCAUGCAAUUCACUGACACCGGAGGAGUACCUUGUGUGUAUCAAACGUCGCAACGUAACUGGGUGACUAUAAAGGUGCUCUACAGGUAUCUCCGAGGGUGUCUGUUGAGUUAGCGUGGAUCAAGACUCGGGUUUGUUACUCCGUGUGACGGAGAGGUAUCUCAGGGCCCACUCUGUAAUACAACAUCACAAUGAGCUUGCAAGCAAUGUGACUAAAGAGUUAGCCACGCGAUCUUGUAUUACGAAAUAAGUAAAGAGGCUUGCCGGUAACAAUAUUGAACUAGGUAUGGAGAUAUUGACGAUUGAAUCUCGGGCAAGUAACAUACCGAUGAACAAAGGAAACUACGUACGCGAUUAACUGAAUCCUUGACAUCGAGGUUCGAGAGAUAAAGAUAUUCGUAGAAUAUCUGGGAAUCGAUAUGGGAAUCCAGGUCCCGCUAUUGGUUGUUGACCAUAGAGGUGUCUCGGUCAUGUCUGCAUAGUUCUCGAACCCGUAGGGUCUGCACACUUAACAUUCGGUGACGAUAUAGAUGUAGUUGAGUUAUAGUGUUGGUAUCCGAAGGUUGUCCGGAGUCCCAGAUGAGAUCCCGGACGUCACGAGGAGCUCCGGAAUGGUCCAUAGGUAAAGAUUUAUAUAUAGGAAAGUGGUAUUCGGGUUCCUUAAUAGUUUCGGAAUUUUUCGGUAUUGUACCGGGAGUGUCGAAAGGGUUCUAGGGACCCACCGGGAGGGCCCACCGACCCCGGGUGCCACAUGGGCCUAAGAGGUGGCGCACCAGCCCCUGGUGGGCUUGGGCAGCCGACUCCAAGAGGCCCAUGCGCCCAAGGGUAGGUGGGAGGAGGUGCCUUGGUGGAAGAGGAGUCCUCCCUAGGGUGUCCACCUCCCUUGUGGGAGGAGGACUCCUCUCCAGUUCGGCCGAUCCACCCUCAUUGGAGGAGGGGCCAAGGCUGAUCCCUACCCACCCCUUUCUCCUAUAAAUAGAGAGGGAGAGGGAGGCAGCCAACACAAUAUUGCUUGGGGGCGCCCUACCUCUCUCUCUCUCUCUUAGUAAUUCUCCACCAUAGCGAUUGCGGCAGCGCUUGGCGAAGCCCUGCUGAAAUUGCACCAUCACCACCGUCACCACGCCAUCGUGCUGCUGGAGUACUCAACAUGCACUUCACCAUCGCUCGCUGGAUCGAGGAGGUAAAGGCGUUAUCGAGCUGUACGUGUGCUGAACGAGGAGGUGCCGUCCGUUCGGCGCUUGAUCGGGAGUUCGCGGGGCAGAUCGUAAUUGGAUCGUGAAGACGUUCCACUACAUCAACCGCGUUCUGUAACGCUUGCCCUUUGCGAUCUACAAGGUUGUGUAGAUAUAAUCUUUCCUCAUAGAUGGUCAUCUUCUAUAUUAAUCUUGGCGAAGCGUAGUAUUUUUCCCCAUACAACGUUCCCCGCAUGUGAGUGGUUGUUGCUUUUGUGUUUGGGCGCUGCAGCUGAUUCACAGGAACACCAACGGGCCAGAUAACGGCGUGCAUGGUGCUCGGCCUCCAAAUGACAUUUUCGCCCCACAUCUACCCGUGUUUUGAAUUAAUCUUUAGUGUUCAUGUAUAAAGGAACAUAUAUUCUGUGCUACAUGGCAAUAUGAUCAAUCUUCACAAUACAAGUUGCAAAGCUCCUGUCCUAUUUGGUGUGUACCUAACCGCAUGUCUAUUUUGCUAAUGCAUGGUUGUGUAAAUCGCAAUGAUGUAGAGGUAAGGGUUUCAAACUUCUUUCCAAAAUGAGAAAUGGAAAAAGGUUCUUUCUAAUGCAAAAUCUCGCAGAGUUGUUUAUUUAUUUGGGACCAUGGACAGAAAGAGCAAAUUCUGUAUACUGAUAUAAUCUGAUANCGGGCCCCCGAAAAGAAGGGGGGCCCACUCAACCAUGUGUAAGCAGCUCUCUACAAGGAUCGGCAACCACACUGGAUCCUCGAGUAGCCAUUAACGAUCUAGAACCUGUUCGGUGGUCUCACGAAGAAGAACGAGCCUGAAGCAUUAUUUCUUUAGUAGCUAGACUGGGGCCCAAGGGCCGUUCCAAAAGAAAAUAAAAUGGUGGUGGGUCACAACAGGCUGGGACACCAGUGGUUCAGUAUAGUUGGUCCUAAAAAAACUGGUUAAAUAUAAUUAGUGAUCCUUUUUUGGAAGAAAGAAUUAAAUACUCAGGAAUAGAGCACUGUCGUUGCUCUUCUUUCCUGUAAAUGUUUUAUAUUAUUUUAUACAAAGUUCAUGAUUUCAUGGUAUAAAUUGACAGUUGAUUGUUUUCAUCAACUUUAUUUAGAUUUUUUUAUGUAUUCAACUUUGACCAUAAUAUGUUCGUAUAGUCACAAUGUAAUUCUUAUAUUGUUGAAUAUACAUUAUAAGUCACAGAAAUAUCUUCGCUACCGAUUUACCAUACCCAAAUUUUAGUUCUUCAUAAACCAUCAUGGGUGUAUUUUGGCUUGAUUUCAUGUGCAACCUUCGACGACCAACGCUUAAUUUCAUAAGACAAAUGAUUGAUCUUAUGGGCGUCCUGGCUAAGACGUCCACGUUGAGAGGAGACCACACUGUGCCCACCGGUCACAAUGAAUGCUAGCAUAUCAGGAUGUUAGAGUUUUUUUUAAUAUUUUAUAAAGGGCAGUGCUAGGCGCCGGCGUGCCGGCCCGAGGGCUCGCGCGGUCGCGCAACAGCCGUCAGAUCAGGGCCCUCUGACCGUCAGAUCUGGUCGCGCCAGCCCCCACCCGCCCGCCAUCCUCGCACGCGCCGCCGUCCCCUGCACGCGCCUAGCCCGCGCCGACGCCCCAGCACGCUCCGCCCGCCUCGCCUCACCUCCUCACCGCUGGCCGUCCUCCACCGUCGGUCGCCGCCGGUCGCCGCCCUCGCCGCCGGUCGCCGCCCUCGCCGCCCUCACCUAUGUCGCUUUCCUGUGCGUUGCUAACCUCCAUGGAUGUAGCAGCGUGCGCUCAUGGUUGUAACUCCUUGUAAAAAACAAUACGGUUGCAACAAAAAAGAACGACACAUGUAGCAAAAUUGUAUAAUGGUUGCAGCAUUUCCCAUCAUGGUUGCAACUCGCCCAUGUCAGCGGUUGUAGCAAAAACACAAUACGGUUGCAGCAACAAAAAAUGACUGAUGUAUCAAAUUUGUAUAAUGGUUGCAGCAUUUUUUCAUCAUGGUUGCAACUCGUCCAUGUCAACGGUUGUAGCAAAAAAACAAUACUGUAGCAACAAAAAAGAAUGACUGAUGUAUCAAAUUUGUAUAAUGGUUGCAGCAUUUUUUCAUCAUGGUUGCAACUCCGCCUACAAAACUCCGACGAAGUUUGGUUGCAACUCUCAUGGACGUGGUUGUAACUUCUUUUAUCAACGGUUGAAGCUUUUUUUAUGCCGUUUGAAGCUUUUUGCACACCGCUUGUAGCUUUUUUUAAUACAUGCACACACAGAUCAAUCCAUGGCAGGAGGCAGCCAUGUCAUCUCCCCUGUGGCUCGACCUAAGCACCGGCGAUGGUGGUUUUGCAGCAGCGCCGGCGAAGGGUGCGAGGGCGUGCGGAGGUGCCUGCGGGGGAGGGGGCGACGGCGGCAUGCACAGAGGAGAAGCUCGCGGCUGCGGCGCCCGCGCGCGGGAGGGGGCGACGGCGACUUGCGCAGAGGGGAAGCACACGACGGCGGCGCCUGCGCGGGGGGGAGGGGGCGACGACGACCUGCGCGGGGGGAAGCACACGACGGCGGCGCUUGCGCGGGGGGAGGGGGCGACGGCGACCUGCGCGGGGGAGGGGACGCGCGCGAUCCACCCAGAUCGGACGAACGCGGUGCGUCCGGCCGAAACGGUUCGGCGGACUCGCCGUGUAUAAACGUUUACCUUUUAUAAAUUACUUGACAUGAUAUUGCUUUUUAAUAUGUUUAUUAAAUCUUUAUUGAUAACAUUUUACUUUUAUUGACAUACAUUAACUUUUUUUGUGCUUAUAUUGAAGGGAUCGUGUUUUGUUUUCGCCCCGGGCCCCCAAAAUCUCAGGACCGGGCCUGAUUUUUAGUAGGUCACACAUUAAAAUUAUAUCGUAAUGAAAAUAUCCAUACACACAUGGCACGUCCAUGUGAAACUUGUGAUUUUGCUUGCCGCAUGAAGGACUUUUACACUGUUAUGACCUUGUCAGAAAACUUUAGCAAAAAAUAAACUUUUUCAGAUUUUAUUUAACGAUCUUACACUUCUGGUAACAUCAACAACCGCGGCGUUUCUUCCCUACCUUGUGCAUGCGUUACUGGAAACACAAGGGGACAUGGUGUUUCUUCUUUGGACAGAAACGCCAUGGUGUCGCUAUGACGCCAUCGCAUUUUCUCCGUGACACGUAAGGCGCAGUGCUGUUUAGUAGACUCGUGGCCAAGCAGAAAUGUCAACCUUGCCUGGGUUGUGAUGUUUAGUAGAAACGUCACGGCUCGUGGCGUUGCUGAAAAGGGUCCCUGAAAUAAAAUUUGAGUGAGUUCGUUUUGUGCUAAAGUUUUCAGAUAGGACUUUGCAUCACGAAAGGAUAUGCACGACGCACAUCAUUCAAUAGGUAUAGAAAUGCAGGUUUUGUUGGUGCCCCCUCCUCGCAGGGCCUCUUCUUCUUCCCCUUGGCUGCCUCUCACAGCUACCGUCUCUUCUCUCAAUCUCUAAUGCCUCUUCUUCUUCCUCUUGGUUGCCUCUCACAGCUAUCGUCUCUUCUCUCAAUUUCUAAUAUUUCUCUUGCACUUUCUCUCAAGGACACAAAUACAAUGAGAAGACUCAACACACACGCACACCACCACCAAGGAGAAAACUAGCUUUGCCUUAUCUCCCGGUGAAACACGAAUGCUACAUUUUUUCUGCUCAGCCAUCUCGGCCCUCUCAUUUUUUCAUUGACUCGAAGUGAUAUUUGUACAAAGUUUGGCAGCCACGGCCAUAACCUCCACUGACCAGCACUCCUAUCCACUCUCUGCAUACAUUAACCACUAACAAUUUAUCCACGUCCCAAGCCAUGCAACGCCUCCUGGAAUCUCUCCACAUCCACUUGACUGGGACUGUUAACAACUUCAUAAUGCACACUUUGCUACUCCAACGUCUAACCAAACUUGGCUAAAUUACUCGGCCUCUAACACAUGCACGAACACAUGGAUCAUGCACACAUGCAUGCGUGCACCACAUGUCAAGAUUAUUCUAACAGGUUUCAGGUAACACGGACCUUUUUCUUCUAAAAGAAAAAAAAAACGAAGUUAACACGGACCUUGCUCCCCUUAUACACACACACACGCUAUGGGAUCGUGCAAGUAACUAACGAUCGAGCAAGCCACAGCCACUGAUGGAAGUAGAAAUGAACGUAGCCAGUCCGCCCAGCCGUCCGCUCUCCGUCCGUGUAUCGGCAGAGACGGAAUGUGCUGACAAUUCAGCGGCGGAUGAACCCAUGAGCCCUAUGGGAAGAAUCUUGGAGGAGACGGGUGUCUGCAUCAUCGUCGUGAUGGGGCUCAGCACGCCGGUGAACCUGCCCGUCUUCCGCUCAGGCAUCGAAACAGAGCUGAUUACCCGUUACUCACGCUUCCGCAGUGUUCAAGUAAUUUUAUAAACUUCAUUCUUUUCUAGAAAUUUGAUCCAACACAAUCAAUAUAGAGUAGUUUCUAAAUUUUAUGCAUCUCUUUAUCACCUCUCUCACCCUCCAAUAAUACACCCAUAUGCAGAUAAUUGAUGGACCCAAGAAUGACAAGCCGCGGUGGGUGCAAACAACGGUGAACGUGGACGAUCACAUCAUCGUCCCGAGGUUCGAUCCUGCUGUAAUGGCCACUAACCCGGAGAAGGUCGUGGAGGACUAUGUAGCCAUGUUGUCCACACUCCCUAUGGACAGGGGACGCCCACUUUGGGAGUUCCACUUUCUCAACUUGAAGACCUCCGACGCGGCCUCCACGGUGGUGCUCCGCCUGCACCACUCCAUCGGCGACGCCAUGUCCAUCAUGUCACUCUUCAUGGCUUCGUCACGUAGCAUGGCUGACCCAACCAGGCUGCCGGCCAUGCCACCGCCGCCCAGAAGGACCGGCGCCAUCUAUCAACAGCGGACCCGACCUCCAUUGUCUUUGUCAAGCGAUUACCUGGCGUGGGUUUGGUCAUAUUUUGUGUUGGGAUGGCACACAUUGGUGGAUGUCGCAUUGCUUGCUGCGACGAUACUGUUCUUGAGAGAUCCCCGUACGAUGUUCACGCAUAUGCCAGAUGGCAGCGGGUCUCCCCGUCGCAAGCGCUUCGUGCACCGAAGCCUUAGCCUUGACGAUGUCAAGCUCAUCAAGACUGUCAUGAACUGCGUACCAAAGCCAUUUCAACUUUAUAUCGAUUAUAACUUAUAAGAGAAAUAGUUCUAUAGAUGGAUAUCUUCAUUUCACUCACUGGACAUUUUUAUCUUUCUCCUUUUCAUUUUUACAGACUAUCAACGAUGUGUUAGUUGGUGUGACUUCAGCAGCUCUUUCACAAUAUUACUUUAGGAAGUCUGGUAAGUGAUCUGUCUGACAACGUCUAUGAAUAUGUGUUCUGUGGACAUGUAAUUUAACAUUUGCUUUCUUAACUUCAAUAUUAGGAGAUACUAACACCAAGAGAAUCUGCUUGCGAUCAAUCCUCCCUGUCAACAUAAGGCCAAUCUCUAGUCGACAAGUAAGAUCUUUCUUUUCCUCAAAAUAAAUAUGAAAGAAAUAUCAAUUAAAUGCCACAUAAACAUCACAACGUUCCCUUUCAUCACAAUUUUAUAGAAUAUUAGUUGCUUUAACUUUUUUCUUUCAACUGUGAACAGACAUAUGUUACUAAGGUAGAUAGAGGGAAUCGAGUUAGCGGCCUCAUCUAUCCAUUUCAUAUAGCCUUGCACAAUGAUCCCCUUGAGUAUGUUCGCAAGGCAAAAAGGUCUAUGCAUAGGAAAAAGACCUCUUUAGAAGUGAAGUUUGCACAAGUGGUUGUUGAUUUUUUGGUGAAAUACUUUGGCACAAAGGUAUACUCCUACAUAUAUUCAUGUUCAUUUGCACUUUAUACGAUCUUCUCAAUACUGUGUAGCACAAAUGCUGAAGGAGAAGCAAUACACCCAUUUAUGCAUGUUUCUAAUUAUGCUGCAACUUCUCAAUGAAAGUAGACAGGAGCUUUUAUCUUCCGCCUCUUUGCCACACGUACAAGCAUACUCUUAUCAAAUGUUGUUGGGCCAUCUGAACAUAUAAGGCUAUGUGGGCACCCAAUUUCCUUCAUGGCAAUCACUGCCUACGAGCAACCACAGGCAAAGGCAAGUCACAUAUGUAAAGUUCAUCCAUCCAAAAUAUAUGCAUUCUUACGUUGCUUCAAAAAAAAAKGUCACAUCGAGUGGUUUCAAAAUCAAAUUCACACUUUUCUCAUGUUGUCUAAUUAUUAGACACAAUUUACCUCUUCAUUAAUCCUAAUUAGAUUAUUUGUUGUGCCAAUCUGACAUAAGCCUCUAUUUUAUUUACUUUCAUAUCCAAAAAAAAUUACAAUUGUAUUUCCAUUGACAAAGUUUGAUUGCGCAAAUAAUUUGUAGAUAGACGGGUCUAUUCCUCACUCCAUUCUUUGUUGCCUACAUUUCGCUCAAAUGAUCUAGAUUCCCCCUUUGCAUGUAUUAAUUAUCGUACAAGAUUGUUAUUUCUUUAAAACAACAUUGACUUAAAAAGGAGAAUGUACUAUCGUAAUUCAUAGUAAGCCACUAGAGAAUCUGUAGUGCACAGAUAUAGGGCUCUCACUUAAUAAAUCUGAACUAAUGUACUUAUUUGAUAUAAACAUUUACACCUGCCAAGCUGAAUCAAGUAUAUUAUCAUUAUUAUUUUUCAACAAUUCACUAUUUUGGAGAAAUUAAGGCAAUUUGGCUCUCGAGCACGACGGUGCUCAACAUUUAAAAAAAACGGUAUUUAGAAGCUUCAAGAACCUAUAAGUUUUGUAAAGAAUACAUAAAGAUGUUUUCUAUGUAUUUUUUUAAUAUUAAGUAAUACCUUGAUUGUGUGUCACACAAAAAGGAAAAUAGGUGGCUAAAAAAAUUAACCACAUUCUGAUCCUUGUAUUUGUCGUUUUUUUGUGUACACAAUGCAUGAUAAAAAUCCAUAUACACGUCUAUAUGAUUUACAAUUGUUUUUAGAAAAGAAUAUAUGUUGUAAACAUGAUGGUUGAGACUAUUUUUGUUUUCUUUUUAUGGAUACUAGUCACAGUUGUUGGCGCAUGCCCCUACUAUUUUCAAUGCUCCAUGUAUUUGCGGAGUGUAUAGUGGGUGCACACUAGUGUGUUCGUGCCUUCGUUGUUGGUUCUCAUUUGUAGUUCGCAUCCUCACUCGAAGAGGUAAACUAUUGUGUCUUCAUUAAAAAAGAUAGGACAAGAAGCCCUACACAUGAAAAUACAUUAUACUAUCUUUUUCUUUUGAAACUUUGAGAGGGGUGGCUCCCACCUGAAUUUAUAUUUCAGAAGAGAGAUUUAUAGAGUCACGUUGUCCGCGUGGAGAGGUAAUUAUCGAGUAGACUGACAUGAACCUUAUGUUUCAUGUUUGUAAGGCUAUGUGACCAAUUCAUUAAGUCACCAAUGAUGUUUGUUGUUGUGGCCGCUAUGUCAAGGUCAGUGUUAUGAGACACUUCCAAAUUACAAGCACGCGUGGUCUUCUAGAGGGCAAGGAGUAGGAUAAAGGAUAAAUUGAAGUGCCAGCGAUCACAGUAGAGUAAGCCAAAUAUGAUCGAGAUGCCUCAAGGUGGGAUAAAGAUUUGGUUAGGCGCUGCACUCUCAUGCGAGAAGAAAAUGCGAAGAAUAUAAACUAUAUGAUCUUCAGUGGCACUCGAUCAAUGCGUUAAGUUCUGGAAUUUGGCUAUGUAGAUAUGGCAAUAACCUGUGAGAGAGAUAUAAGAGAAUCAAACUCAUCGAUAUCAAGCGAGGUUAUUCAGUUGGUUAAGCCAAGUUUGAUCCCAUCCUGCAAAAACAAGGCAUUUUAAUGGAGGUGCUGAGUAAAAAGUGUUGCCAAUGCAGUGGCUAAUGGAUCAUAGAGUAUCCAUCUAUCAAGCGAGAAGAUGAUGGAGGAGCCAUUGCCAAGUUGGCAUGGGAGAUGAGAUGCAAGCUAUGUAGGCAUGUUAUCUUCUUCAACUUUACCUUGUGUUUAGUUUGAAAUGACGCAUGUACAUGUAAGGGUGGGUGUUUGAGUCUGGGGUUUACCUAAAAUGGUUAUUAAGAAAAUCUCAAGAAAAAUGUCAUAGAUAUGCAUCCUGUUGUAAAAUAAGCACCUUAACAUUGCCAUCCAAAAAUAUUAUCAAACAUGUAUGUUGCAAAAGCAUAUUAAAAAUGCAUCCCUUAAAACUGUAUGCUUAAUCCAUUUUUGAUAUAAUUUUCUGGAACUUUUGUGUAGGCACUGAUCAUGCACUUCCUAAACUACGGUAGCACUAUCAGAGUAACUCUGGCAGUUGAUGACGCGCAAUUCCAAGAUUGUCAUAAGCUUUUAGAUGAUUUUGUUGAAUCCAUCAGGCUCAUUAAGGAUGCGGCCGGUCUCAAGACAUUAACAACAUCAAUCGAGCAUGACCGAGUAAUGAAUAGUUGGAUGGGUGUGCCAUGUCAAUAGCACACAUAUAUUAAUUGGAUUAGUAAACGUAUACACAACUCUGUGUAAAAUUAUCAUUUGUGGACUAUUAGUUGUGUGUGUGUUAUGCAUGUAUUUCAGUGUGUUGUUUAUGUCUAUCACUAUAGGAUUUGUGUUCAAGAUUUCUCUUGCUACAACAUAAUUGGGUGUCACAUUCGGCUUCUCAUGCAUAGAAAGUCAAAAGCUAGGUUUUCUCUUAGCUUGUAUUGUUAACUUUUUCUGGAUUUCUCAAGGGAAGUCAAUGGCUCAAUCAUGAUAAACCAUAUGUUGAAUUUUGUGUGAAUCCACUCGCAUACAUUUACCACAAAACAAACCUAUUUUUCGCAAAAAAGGAGAUGAAACCCUUAGCCUCUGCAUAAAAAAUCCAUGCAACCUUCUUUAUUAAAUUAUUCAACAGAGGUCUCAACCUUCUUUAUAAAAUUAUUCAACAGAGGUCUUGCAAAAUCAUACAUCAAACAAUCUGAAACCACAGUGCCACAACUACAAAACUUGACAAUGGAGGAUGCCAUCAUAAUGCCCCAACUAGAGCUAGGGGCAUCACCGGACGACCCAUAUAUAUGGUGUACCCUGAGUACACAUUCGGUCCAGCAGAACAAAGUGUGCACAUGCUCCAGAAGCCACCACCACCAUCGACCUAUCGAAUCAUUUUCUGAACAGAGAUCUUUAAGAUCCUUACUAUGCCAGCCGUCAACAACGCACGACAACAAACAACGCCACCACCAUGCGUUCGCCAAUCAUAACGUGUCCGUGCACGAGACUCCAUUUUCCGUGCAUACCCUUAUUUUGAUGGUUAUUUUGCAGAUCGAGGCAUUAUGCAGGGUCUCCUAGAGAUGCGCUUAUACCAUUCACCCAUUGCACGGCUGCUUCAUUGGGCUUGUAAAUGUCACCUAGCCUGCUCAACUUUCCCCAUCUUUUCUUCCUUCACAUGUAAGCAGCGCGCAUGGCUCAUCCUACUACUCUCUACAAGCAGUAGGUUGGUGCUGGGUGGACUGUUGUGGCUCACGUGGAUGAUGGGCAGCUGUCCAUUGUGGUGCAUUGCCCAUGGCCUUAGAGCAUCUAUCGCAAACCCCCGUAUAAUACCCCGACCCGUAAUAUUACCGUCAAAAUAUGGGUUGAGGCGAAAAACGUUGUCAGACCAGACCCCGUAAAUGCGUCCGACCCGUAAUUUUUUUUACAGAGCGCGACAAUAGUUCGCCCUCAACCUUCAGAUUCACGGGGUGGGAGGUCGACCCGAGCUCGCCCCCAUAUCCGCAACGAGAUUUGGCGCGAGGGAAAUUUCCGCGCGGCCCUUCCCCGCUCCCCCUCCUCGGCAGCCAUUGCCCCGCCACCACGCGGUCCGGACCAUCUUCCCCGCCAUUCUUCGCCACCAUGGAAGCCUCCCAGCUGUCUCACGUCAACGUGGAGGUUGCGCAAACGCAAUCCCAUCUGGCGGAUCUCGUCGCUGGCCAUGUUGCGCCCGUCGUCGCCCAAGGCACCAACGUGCCUGCCCGCAAGCGACAAGGGAAUGUUGUCGUGCAAGGCGGCAAUCCGUCUGGCCCCGCCGAAAAGGAACGUGCGUCGGGCGCCGCUGCUGCAGCACGAUCUGCUCAGCCGCCGACGGAGAAGAUGAGGAAGGUUUCGGGCGUGAAGAGGAAGAAGGUUCCUACGAAAAGGCCUUCGUCCAGUCCCUCCGCCCCAGCGAGAUGUUCCCCGAUACUGCCUUUCAAUAGUGAUGCUUCAACCACAUGUGAGGUGUUCGAUGAAAUGGCCGGAAGGUAUGCAUCUUCCCUCCUUUAUUCUUUCUUCGCUUUUUCGCCAUUAUGGUAGCUCGUGAUGUGAUGCCACUCAAUGUGACGGUGGUUGGAACAAUGAUGCUGCCGAGUUUGUGAACUUCUUGGACACCAACGCCGUUGACAUCGAUCAAGCCCCGAUCGCUAGUUUCGAUUACAAUGAAUUGGAGGGUGGCUUGGAUGACCACAGUGGUGAAGAUGAAGUGGAGGAGGUAGAUAAGGGGACAUAUCAGCAAUCGCAAGCAAAAAAAGCAUGAUAUCAAAGAACUACGCAGUCUUGGAAGAUCAAAUCUUGAUCAAGGUUUGGAGUACGGUGUUUGUGGAUGCUUGCAUGGGUGUGGGUCAAACCGUCAAGAGGUAUUGGCAAAGAAUUGAAGAUGAAUAAUUCCAACUCAUGGCCAAGUAUCCUAAUAGGACAACACGGACCCUUCGGUCACUCUAAGGUCGUUGGGACGUGAUCAAGCCGAUUUGUAGCCGUUGGGCAGCUUGCUUAGAACAAGUUCGCAAUGCUCAUCCAAGUGGAAUCGUGGAAUCCAACUAUGUGAGUUCGUUUUCACGUCCCAAAGUUCUACACACCAUUUGCAUCAUGCGAAAUGGUUGCAUCAUUUGACUUUGUUUUAAUUAUGUAGGAAAAAAUUGCCCAACACCGGUACAAAGACAUGGAAGCUUCCGAAGGAAAAUUUUGAAACUAGAGCAUUGUUGUGAAAUGCUCAAAGAUUGUGACAAGUGGAAGUUGAUUGACAGAGAAUCCCCACCAAAGAGAGGUUCACUUACGGACAUGAAUGAAGAUGAAGAUGAUGAUGGCCCAAUAAACUUGAAGUAGGACGAUGGUGACAAAAAGAAAAAGGAGAAGAUCAAAAGGGAACACGAAACAUCCAGCUUGCGGGAUAAGAUAGAUGCCAUGAUGCAAUCAAAUGAGGUGAUGCUAGCGAAGUCUUUGGAGGCAAAGAUAGAGUUGGACGAGAAGGAGUCACGCGAGAAGCAGGAUAGUGGAAAUUUCUCAAGGACGUUGAGGAGAGAAGAGCACGUGCCGCUGAGAACAAGGCCAUGGCCAACCUUCUUGCCGAAGAGAAUAUGAUCAUGACUUUGAACCGCAAUGACAUGGACGACAUCAACAAAGAAUGGCAUGAUAUGACAAGGAGAGAAAUCUUGAAGAGGAGGAUGCUUGUGUUUUACAAUGGCGAGAUGUUUUCUAAUCGGGAAUCGGAACCAAUAUCGUUGAUGAUUUCAAUGCUAGAGUUGGAAAAAGUGUCAGUGAUGGAUUCGGGUCGGUGAUGAUCUCGAUGAUGCAGAGUGAAGAGCGACCAGGAUGCAUGAAGUCAUUUUGCAUUUAUCUUUUAAAACUAUGCUUUCAAUUUGCAAGCGAACUAUGUUUUAUUGUUUGAAUUGGAACUCAUUCGUUGGAAUCGGUGUCAAAUUCGCUUAUUGGGAGGUUUUUCGGUUUGCGGGUGGACACGGCGGCGCCCGAGAAGACCUUGCAUAGCCGACCCGUAAAAAAACAUCUUCUGUGAAUACCCUUUUUACAUGUCUGUUUUGCGUGGUCUGACUCUGUCCGCGCCCGCGCUGGCCCGUAAAACCCUUUUUCCGCUAACAGUAAACGACUUUUGCGGGUUGGCUUUAUACGGGGUCUCAUAGAGACGCUCUUAGCUCCUCGUCACCGCUAGAGUGGUCGAUGGCAAAGGUCACGAGGCACGAGGACGAUGGUGGUUAGAGCAUGUACAGCCGGACUGGACCCGGCCCCCUGUAUGUCUACGGACGUGCCCAAGCAUGCAUGCACACGUAUCCAAACGACAUCCAUAUUUCACUCCAUGCAUCCACAAAUCUGAUAUUCGGACUCUCAAAUUCAUGCAAAACUAUGCACAUCGAUCACACAAACUAAUGUUACACGUAAAUAACAAAUAUCACAUGUAACGAGAGCUUACUGCAAUAAUCCCUUGUUAUAUUGAAGUAGUCGUGUGCCUCCACUUCGUCCAUAAUGCGCAAAAAUAAUGAUUUCCGCAUACGAAAACGACAAAGAAAUCAUGAAUCAUCCAAAAAAGUUAGGUUCGAAGUAAAGUAAUCCUUCUACAGUAGCUUUGCUCCGGAUACCCUAUCCCGAUUGAUCACUCAUCUCCCUUUGAUUGAGACCUCCAAAUGGAGAAUAUGCUCCAUUUCCCGUCCACUCUUGCAUGCUCAUGAGCACAUCUAAAAUCAAUUGAUCAAACUUCCUUGGUCCAUACUCCUCUCCGGACGAAGCAUUGGAAUCCAUCGUUUCCCCUCAAAAUUUGACCCAAAAUUCGGCCAGACAUUGUGUCGAACACAUACAGCGCAAGGCAGAGUCAAAGAGUUGCAGAACAUACCGUGGUGUCUUCCAGGUUGGUAACAGCGUCCUCCGCACCAAGGACGGGACAACAAUCUCCUCUAACAAAGCAAAUGGGACACGGGCUACGAAUGAUAGCGAAGUUGCAAGACGGACGGCGCAAGGAGGAAGAGGAGAGGAAAACAAUAAAUGGAUCCGUCUAUUCUGCGGGGUGGAUUUAGUGCAAUUCGUGGUGGGGUUAGGAUGUCGGGUUCAACAUGGCGGGCAUGUCCGGCACACCCAGGCUCCCUCGUAUCUGCCCCAUACUUGGGCUGGAUAUGAGGGGUGCCGGUCAGCCUAGUCGUUUGAGGCCCGUUUGAGGGGUCUGGUUGGGUUCCGUUUUCAUGACCGGUUAGUGAUCGGACGGUCUAUGUGGGUGUUUGCGAUGGAUACGAAGGGUCUGGCUGUGGCUAUAGAUGCUCUUAGGUUCUCUCUUUGGGUCGUGAGGACCUCGAAGAUAAAGGAGUAAGUUCUUUUUAGUGUUACUAGUAAAUGUACCCGUACGUUGCUACGGGUGACGAUGUAAUUAAACGAAUCGAACAAAUGAUGAAGUUAAAUGGAUGAAUUAGAAUGCAUGAAUAGUAUCAUGAGGUGACACUAAGACCUGCAAAUUUUAUUCAACGGGAGAAAAAAACAUUGCUCACCCCUAACCAAUAUAUAAGUGUAGCUCAAGACCCAUUUCCUAGGUCCACAUUUUUCUAUUUGAACACGAAAACCGUGUUGUCACUUAUUAUUAUCCUCUUUUCGAUCCUUGCCAAUGGUGGCUACCGUGUUCACCUGAACAUGGUGAGUCUCAAGGCGAUGAAGUCGACCAUGACCAUACACAUGUCACUGAGUCACGCUAAUGCAAGAAAUAAAACUUUGAAAAACAAUACCAUCGAGCUAGAAGUGAGGCCCACCCUUCGCAGUUAUCUCCUGCUUGAAUGGAAUGUAGGUAUUAAAGAGUCAGCUGUUGAUUGUGAUGAGAACCUUUCUUGAGUUAAAAUGGGGGACAUCAUUUACCAGGUGAUAAACCGGGUACAGAUCCAUAAUGUUGAAAGUAUGUUCUUAGUCGAAACCAAAAUGAGGAAAUGAACAAAAAUACCUCAUCCCUGUCAAAGUUAUCUCCACUAUGCGGAUCAAAGAGCACAUCUCGUGAGGCAAGUUCAAAGCAUAUGCAUGCAAAGGACCACAGGUCGACAAAUGUAGAAUACUUGGAUCCCAGAAGGACCUCAGGACACCUGUAUUGCCUUGUUUGGAUAUCACUUGUGAACUGUUUGUACGUCCAACAUGCAUUUCUGAAGUCAACCAGCUUGCAGCCUAGUUCAGCUUCAUCGCCAUCUUAUUCCUAGUCCCUUUGUUGCCCCGCCUAUGCCCUCCUCCUCUCUUCCUGUCCCCAUCCUGGCUAGGACUGCCCUCAUUUGAUGUACUCAGAUCUCCCUUAUCAUCUGAUUCGUCUAUGUCGGCGAAUGCCACUGCCCCAUUGCCUUCUGAAGUUGAAGCAACUACAUGUUUGGCUUUCUUCCGUAUCUUCUUCUGUUGGUUCCUGGUGACGCCACUACUCGUUGAUGGUCGAGCAGGAGCCCUUGGAGGUGGCUCGAUGUCCCUUGCAGCAGGCGGCACCAGUGGCACACCUGACUUCCGGGGAUCGUUUGAGGGGUCAAUAGUGGACACAAGGAAUAUGUUUUCGGGCUUCAGGUCAGUGUGGAUAAUGGAAAGCUCGCGGUGGAGGUAGUCAAGGCCAAUGGCAAGCGGCGUAAAACAUCAAAAUAUCUCGUGUAGUGCGAUAGGAUUGACGGAUAAAACAGUAAUAAUGAGAAAUUGAUUUAGCAGUUCUGCAUAUGAGCUCUGGGACAAAAUAGCGAACAGUUGGUGGGCAGGUAGACAGCUGCAUCCAAAUCAAUAGUUUUUUUCCUACAUAUCCUCGUCGCGAAUCCUAGAGGCAGCGGGCUGAUUUUAACAGGGGGUUUCACGGCGAGGUGAGGGGGUGGUGAGCACGUACGGAGUGGGCGGUGUCCCAGGCGAGCCAGACGGUGGAGAAGUGGCCCCAACCGAGUUUGGACUGCAUGACAUAGGUGCCCUGCUUGAAGUUGUCCCCGGGGCGGACGACGUGGUAGCCGCCGCGGCCGUAGUUCUCUGUGCCAUCGUCCUCAGAGGUGUAGACGUUGUUGUCCACGUCCCCGUCCCCGUCAGCGGCGGCCGCCGCCUUCGCCUCCUCCUCCGUGCGGUGCCGGCUCUCCGCCUCCUCCGCCCAGCGGCUCGCCCGCCGGAGCCUCGGCCAUCGCGCGGGGGAGGCCCGGAUCUGGGGUGGUGGCUUGCGGGGACGGAGGUGAGCAUUGGAGGAGUUGGGGCCGGCGGCGCACGACGCCGUGGCAGGGGGUGGUGGCGUGCUGGCGCUGGAGAUGGGAGGUAAGGUCGUGGGUGGUCUGGUGUGUUUUUUCUCCCGCACAUACCGAUUCAGCUUCACUUANUAUAUAUACACACACACACACACUAGUACAAAUGCCCGUGCGUUGCACCGGAUGAAAAAAAGGAACACUAUGUGCUUCAUGUGUCAUUGUGCAUCAUUUUUUAUAUCCACUUUUACUAAAUGUUGAUGAUAAGGUUAAACGCGCAAAUUUUCUUCUUUUUAAUAAAAGUUAACAUUUUCAUUGAAAUUGGAACACUUUUUUAAGAAUAGUUACAUUUUUUAAAAAAAUGGAACAUUUCUCUAGAAAGAACGAUUUUAUUUUUGUCGUACAUUUCAAAAUGGAAAUAUUUUUUAAUCUAGCAAGCACAUCAAUUGAUUUUGUAACACAAUACUUCCAUCUAUCUAAACAAACCCUUGUUUUCUCAAAGAUGACUCAGUUAUUAUAUGAGCACAUAGAUCACAGUUGGUCAAUGUAUAGUCUCCAAAAAAAUCAAAUAAUUUAAGAAUAUAUUGAAUACAAAAGUACACAUAAUAAAUGAAAUAAAUAUCUUGUGGUAAAUAAUCAUAUUUCUGAACAACUUUGAUCUCUUUAUUUGAAACUGGUUCCUUAACAUCAUGUAAUGGUAAAAAAAUGAGAUAACGUCGAGCUAGAUGGGAUGGAGGUGAUGGCAAUGGAUCACGAUCUAUCUGAUUAUCUUAUUCUGGCACACUCGAUUCAAAACAUUCCGAAUUUAGAGAACAUGCCAACAUAGUUGGUAACAUUGAUUUUGGCUCCACAACACCUGAAUCAGAUUUCUUUUUCUUUCUCUGAAGGUCGGUUAUCCAAAUCCUCUACAAUGUUCAGUUCAACAAUGUCGUCUAUUUCCCACAGUAACAAUAUAAUUAUAAGUAGCCCAAACAGAUUCUCAACUAUAUAUAUUGCUAAUCGCCCUUCACAUAUUUAAGUCCUUCCAAUUCAUGUGUGUACCAGUAAUACCCUGUGCACUUCAACCAUAACAGAAACACAAAUUUCUAAAAUACAUAUGCCACCUGAUACCUGUAUAAAAAUUAUGCAAUUUGCAUAUUGAAAACUUACGGUGUUUACGUUGGUAUCAUCGAGUGUUACUGGUGGCAUGUCCGAGGGUUGAACCUCCUUGGCCUCCAUCUGAGUUCUAUCAGACUCCUUCAGCACCUGAAUGCGCACACACAACAAACAUCAUAACUAAUUAUCCUACAUUUGAACAACAAAAUUAUAGUUUGCACGGAAUUCUAUCCUUCGAUGCCAAAUUCAGAACCAGCAUGUCCACAACAAUAUAAUACAAAAAAUAUGAUGGAGGCAAGACACCAAAAUAGUCAAAUAAAUAGGUAGAAGUUCAGUUGAACUACUCCUAUUUAAAAUUAUAGUUGUUUAAAACUGGUACUAAAAAGUUCAGUGUCUAAGAGUCAGGCUACCUAGUUGAUAAUAGUAAGUAUUACAAUGAAAUGUUGAGAUGACCUUUGAACAGUAUUUAGAAAUUGCACAGGAAAGAAUUAACAUUCGAUUGCUACUUCCAGAAUUAUCUUUGCUUCUGGAUGUGAGAAUAUUAUAACAACAGUGUAGCAUUGGGGAACUUGUGUGUGAUAGACUAUUUUGUUUAUGGUUCAGUUUAGCCGCUUGAUAAAAACAACCCCAAAUCAGUAUUGCUCGAGCAGCUUGAACGACGUACAUUGGCUACAUGGAUGGACAUAAUUCUAGGUCAACUUAUGCAUAUUGCUUGACUUCUCAAUCUGGUUUAUUAUUAUUUUCUAUCGAUUUGAUCACCUGUGGUCUAGCUUCUAUUUUUAAUCCAUGAGUUGUACUAUUUCAGGCAUUGAAUUGUUCAGAGAUUAUAAAGACCAUAUACGGAAGAUCAUACAUAAUUUGUAAUUUAAUGCCAGAUUAUCGACCAUAUACUAAAGAAUAUAUAGAUUUAAUAUGUACUACUUGAUGAAAGAUGCAAAAUACUUGAUCAAGACCACCUUCAGGCAAUACGGUACAGGAAAAACUUUGUUAUACAACAGGGAUCUUGCAAGUCAAGGACUGGAAGGUUUCAUCACUUAUGAAAUAAGUGGUCUGACACACUUUGUAAGCUGUAUAUAUCAUUGCACGCACUUAAAGUUGAUUUCAGCUCGAUCUUUUCAGAAUGACAAAAUGAUCUUUCAUUCAUUCAGUUCAGAAAAUUCAGAGCACUUGCGUUUGGUUCAUGGCUUCAGAGUUAUUUGGCCUAGCUACAGAGGAAACUAACAAACGGUAAGGGUAAAACACACGGACGAUGCCGCCAUGCACGGGCACGAACGAGCGAACAGCAGCGGAAGAAGCAGGGACGCGCACAAAAGCACGAGUAGCAACAAAAGCUGCGCACAAUCUUGCCAGCGAUACAGGGGACAGAAAAAUUAAUCAAUCACGGGAUACAUACCUUUGGUGUAGCCGUGGCAGGCAACAUUGGAGUGUUGGAUGGUUGUUCUUGUACCUCCGGCGAACUCGACACUUCUUCCUCCAGUGAACCCGCUGGAUGCCUCUCUCUCCCUCCGUUUGAGCGGCAACUGCUGAGAGUGAUUGGGGGAGGGGAGUGAGUGAGGGAGGAAGAAGGGGGUGAGGAGGAGAUGAGCGUGAUGGGAGAGCACACCACUGGCUGCCCCGCCGCAGUUCGAGCCGCCGCCGCCGCACUUUGCCGCCCCGCGCGCCUGCGCCGCCGCGCGCCUGCGCUGUUGCACGCCGCCGCCUCCUGUCUAGCCGCCCCAGCGCAUGGUGCGCUGUGCCCGCCGCCAGAUCCGGCCCGGCUCGCCAUGGAUCCGGCCGCCCAACGCGCCCCUUGGCCUCGCCUCCACCUCUGACCACCGCCGCGAUGCUCGCCGGCGCCGGAGCCGCCGUCGACGGACCGACCUCCUCCUCAACCAGAUCGGGACCGGACCGUGAGCCCUGGACCGGUGGAGGACAGGGGCUUUUUUGAAAAGGCGAAACAUUUUUUUCCACUUAAUGGAGGACCGCGGGUUGAUUUUGAAAUAACAGGGGGACGUUUUUGCAAAACCUCUAGACGGGCGACAGAAGCAGUAGCUGCUUUAUUAUUAGGAUUAGGAAGAGAUUAGGGAGAGAAUUAUGUUAAUCCUUGCUUUUCUUAAUUACCAAGGCAAUUACUUUUGGCAUGUCGGUUGCUCAUGUCCCUUCGUACAAACACCCCUUGGAGGCACCCUUUGUAAUUCUAUGUAAGACAUCAUCAUCAAUGAAAAUGAUACAGUUUGAAUCAUUUUGUUGUCUUUAUCGUUUGUUUCUCGAUUCCAUUCAACACGUUAUCAACACUGCUUCCCGACCAGAGCGAUUCCAUCGGCGCAGUGGUUCCUGGCUAUUGCAUCGCCCCCUCAGCCUGACGGAAAGGCCAGACGAAAUAGAAAUCGGCAUGAAGGAGGUAGCAACUCCGGCGGUCCUGAUCUCCUGUGACCCUUGAUUCCACGGGUUUGGCCUCGAGAAAGAUAAAAAUCAAACAGAAGAUCAAGCAGUCAUGCUCAUACAAAAAUCUUGAUCUAAUGGCUACAAGAACAAGGUGCUACCUUCCGAUUUUCGAUUCUGUAAGCACAAAUGCCUCAAAAGUUAAUACUUUGACAUACCUGGCUAUGCACACAUCAGUUGGAGAACGCCAACGCACGGAGAGUCAGCCAUUGGCUACAUCUCCAACAACGGCUCUCCUCAGCCUCCAGAAACAACCGGAGCGUAGCCGCUGCGUCCGCAUCCUCAACGUCCAGCGACGGACGAGAGCGGCGAUGACUGGCACGCGGCGUGGAGUCCCCAGCAUUUCUAUUGUGGCGCAGCCACAUUGCACUCGGCGGUCACAACGACAGGGACUCGCGGCGCCUACCGCCUGAAGGCCGCACCGAGGCCUCACCCUCGGGACGCCCGCGCCCAUGAAGGAUAAUCCCCUUGCCAACUUUGAUUCAAACCUUAGCUGAAUAAGCGAGCCGUCAGCGUGCACUUGUACACGUACGGUUCAGUGCAGUUUUCUUUCUUCACAUAAGUUAGUUAGUGGCUUUAGAAUCGCCGGCAAGACCGCUUCAUGGGAUGGCAUGAAAGUCGCGGGAUUGACGGCGUCGUAGUUCCCUCCGCAAGCAUAGCAUCGUGGGAUGGCACGAUCAGUAGGCUGGGCUGCGCGGGUGUGGGUUUUUCCCCUAUGUAAUCGGCAGGAGAGUUGGUUCUCUGAUAGCCUGAAUAACAGAACAACCGAAAACGCUGCAAGUUUGUUCAGCAGCUCCAAAACCCUCGUCUCUCUCCUUUCGCUCUAUCGGGCUGUUGAUUCCUCUCUGUCGAUCGCGUUUCAGCCAGGUUUUGCAACAACAAGUGGCAUCAGAGCCUUGGGGUUUAUCUAUCGAUCCCAGGUACCGACAGUGUCUGAUCUGUCAGAGCGAUGGACGGAAGUGGUGACGAGAAAUCACAGGCGCAACUGAAGGAGGAUCAGGGAUCGGUUGCGUCGGCGGAGAAGAUCCUGGCGCGUCUCACCACUGAUGAGACGUCGGGGGUGCGAGUCGUGGAGCGCGUCGUACACAGCAGGGGCGGCGGUGGCGGCCCGCCGAUGAUGUUGACACGCACGAACUACACCGACUGGGCCAUGAUCACCAAGCUACAGCUCCAAGCUGACGAGCUAUGGCGCGUGGUGGAGACAGGGCAAGGAUCGGAGCGCGAUGACAGGCGUGCCAUGAUCGCCCUUCUAAAGGGCGUGCCGGCGGAGCUCAUGCGCAUACUCGGGGUGAAGUCCACGGCCAAGGAGGCGUGGGACACCCUGAAGACGAUGCAGGUCGGGGUGGAGCGCGUCCGCGAGGCGAAGGCGCAGGCCCGACGCUCGGAGUAUGAGGCGCUCCGGUACAAGGACGACGAGGGGAUCAAGUCCUACGUCAUGAGGUUGAGGACCAUUAUCGACGAACUGUCGGCGCUCGGAGAUCCCGUGGAUGAGCACAAGGCCGUCCUCAAAGUUCUCCGGACGGUGCCGAGGCCAUAUCGAGAGAUGGCGGUGGCAACAGAGUCUCUGGUGGACACGAAGUUGCUGUCCCUCGAGGAGCUCUGCGGCCGACUGCUGGUCGUGGAAGAACGCGAUCGUGAGGAGGUGCUGGCACCAGGGGCUCAGCUACUCUUCACGGCCGACGAGUGGCGCGCCCGCGACAAGCUGGCAGAUCAAGGAGGCGGCUCCUACAACCCAGGUGACAAACGCGGUCGCGGCAACGGCAAGCCCGAAACACUCAAGGAGGGGGUGGCCGUGGCUAGGGCGGUGGUCGCGGGAACGGUGGAUCCGCUCAACCCAGGCGCAAAGGGAAUUGUCGGUACUGCGGUAUCCCGGGGCACUGGGUGAAGGAGUGCCGCAAGAAAAGAAAGGGAGCAGCGGGAACGGCAGGAUCAACAGGCAAACGUUGCCCAGGUAGAGAUCGAACAACCUGCCCUGUUGCUCGCUGCGUGUGCAGCAGAAGAUGCAGUUCAGACAGACAUGAGUGAGGUCGUUGAGGACACACUGCAGGGAGGUGGUGAGCAAGUGUUUCUCAAUGAGGAGCGCGUCGUGCCCAUGGCCACAAACGACGACAGAUGGUACCUCGACACCAGAGCAAGCAAUCACAUGACUGGCUGCCGUGGACUGCUGACAGAGGUAGACGAAACAGUGCGCGGGAAAGUUUGGUUCGGCGACGGCUCCAUGGUUCAGAUUGCGGGGCGCGGCGCAGUCUUGUUCUCGUGCCGCAGUGGGGAGCACCGCGCACUCUCUGAUGUCUAUUACAUCCCGCAGCUGCGAACCAACAUUGUGAGCCUCGGGCAACUAGACGAGCAUGGCUGCAAAUCCGUGAUCCGCAACGGGGAGUUGUGUCUCUAUGAUAGACAGGAGCUCCUCCUGGCACGGGUGCGGCGGACGAGCAACUGGCUUUACGUCGUGGCUCUGAACUUGGCCGCCCUAGUGUGUCUCCUCUCGGCUGCUACGGAUGAGGGAUGGAGGUGGCAUGCCCGCUUUGGGCACCUGCACUUCCGUGCCCUGCACGAUCUCGGAGCAAAGGACAUGGUUCGCGGGAUGCCGAAGCUCACUCAUACAGAGCAAUUCUGCGAGGGGUGCAUGAUCGGCAAGAUGCAUCACGCCCCAUUCCCGCGAGCGACGACGUACCGUGCUGAGAAGCCGCUCGACCUUGCCCACGGUGAUCUCUGCGGACCGAUCACGCCGGCAACAGCAAGCGGGAACAGAUACUUCCUGCUGAUCGUCGACGACUACAACAGGUACAUGUGGCUCGAGGUGCUAAAAAGCAAAGACCAAGCCUUUCGUUUCUUCAAGAAGAUCAAAGCCCACGCCGAGAUGCAGGGAAAUGUGAAGCUGCGAGCUUUUCGUACCGACAGAGGGGGUGAGUUCCUGUCAACUGAAUUUAACACUUACUGCAAUGAGCUUGGGAUUCAUAGAAACACGACAGCGCCCUAUUCCCCACAGCAGAAUGGGGUUGUGGAGAGGAGGAACCAGUCAGUGGUGGAGAUGGCGCGUAGCCUCUUGAAGGCCAUGGAUGUGUCGUGCACAUUCUCGGGUGAAGCCGUGCGCACUGCAGUUCACAUCCUCAACCGUUCGUCGACGAGGAGCUUGCGGGGGAUCACCCCGUAUGAGGCGUGGCGCGGUAAGAAGCCGGCGGUGGACUACUUGCGCACGUUCGGGUGCGUCGCACACAUCAAGAUCGUCGCCCCUGGCGUGACGAAGCUAGCGGACAGAUCGCGCCCUGGUGUCUUCGUAGGCUACAAACCAGGGACAAAAGGCUAUCGGGUCUAUGAUCCAGUGACCAAGCGUUUGCACAUCACGCGAGAUGUGCGCUUCGAGGAAGAUCGCAAGUGGGAUUGGAGCGUGAUCGAUGACAGCGCGGGGAGCACUCGAGCAGAGGGGCUCACGGUCGUGUACACCGACAUCGGCGCCCCAGUAACGGUGACGUACGCCGUGCGCACUGGAACAACGUCGGCACCUCCCUCUCCGGCGACGAGGGAGCCCUCCACACCAACAAGGUAUGAACAGUCACCUCACGCUCCAAGCUCAGCCGGCGACACGGUUGCUCCAGCUGGAGCCGAGAACACUCCUCCAAUCGAUCCGUCUGACGUCGAUGAUGAUGGCCGGGUUUCGGCUCCUGUCGGGGAAUCUUUUGAUUCUGAAGGUGUGCCACUGCAGUACAAGUCCGUGGAGUAUCUCAUUGACCAUGCUCCCGCGCGCACACUGGAGUUCAGUGGUCUGUGCCUCUCAGCUGCAGAAGAACCAGCAUCUGUCGACGAGGCCCUAGAUGUACCGGCUUGGAGGAAGGCCAUGGAGGCGGAAAUGGAGUCCAUACAGUCCAAUCAUACGUGGGAUCUUGCCACACUCCCAGCGGGUCACCGUGCGAUCGGUUUGAAGUGGGUAUACAAAGUGAAACGAGACCCGGCGGGAAACAUAGUGAAGCACAAGGCUCGACUGGUGGCGAAGGGAUACGCUCAGAAACAGGGGAUUGAUUUCGACGAGGUCUUUGCUCCUGUGGCUCGACUGGACACCGUGCGCAUUCUCAUUGCGUUGGUUGGACAUCGUAGCUGGAGUGUGCACCACAUGGACGUCCGAUCAGCAUUCCUCAACGGGGAGUUGGAGGAGGAGGUGUACGUGAGCCGGCGGGUUUCAUCGACAACAACAAUGCUGACAAGCUGCUCAAGCUGCGGAAGGCUCUGUACGGGCUACGACAAGCACCACGGGCAUGGAAUGCAAAAUUAGACUUCACACCGCAGUCCCUUGGUUUCGAGAGGUGCAAGCUCGACCAUGCUCUGUAUAGGCGGGGUAGCGAAGCUGAUUACCUGCUGGUAGGGGUGUAUGUGGAUGAUCUGAUCAUCACAGGCACCACUGCUGGAGAGAUUGCACGUUUCAAAACCCAGAUGCAAGAGUUGUUUCAGAUGACAGAUCUUGGGCUGCUCAGCUACUACCUAGGGAUCGAAGUGAAGCAGGAGGCUGACAUGAUCACUGUAUGCCAGUCAGGCUAUGCGGCCAAGAUUCUGGAGGACGAGGACAUGGUGGACUGCAACCCUAGCUACACACCAAUGGAGAAUCCUCUGAAAGUGAGGAAGAACACCGGAGAAGCGGUGGACACCACCAGAUACCGCAGUGUCGUCGGCAGUUUGAGGUACUUGGUCAACACACGACCAGAUAUAGCUUAUGCUGUGGGGGUGGCCAGUAGGUUCAUGGAAGCUCCGGGCAAACAACAUUGGUUGAUCAUCAAGCAGAUUCUCAGGUAUAUCAAGGGGACUCUCGGGUACGGGUGCACCUAUAAGGCAGGAGGAGGUACUGCACUGACAGGAUACGGUGACAGUGACCAUGCGGGCGAUCUAACCAACAUGAAGAGCACCACGGGACUCGUCUUCUUCCUCGGUCCAAGCAUCAUCACUUGGUGUUUGCAGAAGCAGAAGAUCGUAGCUUUGUCGUCCUACGAGGCCGAGUACAUUGCAGCUGCGACAGCAUCCAUGCAAGCAGUUUGGCUCAGCACGCUGGUCUCAGAGAUCCUUGGAACUUAGAACCAGACAGUGCAGCUAAACGUCGACAACCGAUCAGCUAUCGAGCUGAGCAAGACUCCAGUGCACCACGAGAGGAGCAAACACAUUGACCUGCGCUAUCACUAUAUCAGGGAAUGUGUGGAAGAAAGAAAGGUGGAAGUGAAGCACGUUAGAACCGAGGAUCAGCUGGCAGACUUGCUGACGAAGUCGCUUGGGCGCGUGAAGUUUACGAAGCUCCGGUGCCGCCUCGGGAUUGUUCUUGUCAAGAAGGAGCAACAUGAUUAGGGGGUGAUUUGAAGGAUAAUCCCGUUGCCAACUUUGAUUCAAACCUUAGCUGAAUAAGCGAGCCGUCAGCGUGCACGUACGGUUCAGUGUAGUUUUCUUUCUUCAGAUAAGUUAGUUAGUGGCUUUAGAAUCGCCGGCAAGACCGCUUCAUGGGAUGGCAUGAAAGUCGCCGGAUUGACGGCGUCGUAGUUCCCUCCACAAGCAUAGCAUCGUGGGAUGGCACGAUCAGUAGGCUGGGCUGCGCGGGUGUGGGUUUUUCCCCUAUGUAAUCGGCAGGAGAGUUGGUUCUCUGAUAGCCUGAAUAACAGAACAACCGAAAACGCUGCAAGUUAGUUCAGCAGCUCCAAAACCCUCGUCUCUCUCCUUUCGCUCUAUCGGGCUGUUGAUUACUCUUUGUCGAUCGCGUUUCAGCCAGGUUUUGCAACAAUAGCCCAGGCUUUCGCCCGGCGACCGCACCGGCUCCAAGCACCGACCGCACCGCGCCUGUCCGCCUGGCCGCUGCCCCGCGCAAGUGGCCGCUGCCUGGCAGCGCCGCGCCCACCCGUGCCCGCGCCUGCGCCCGGCAUCGUCAAGUCGUGGCCGCCCACACUCCGCCCGUUGGCCGCGAUGAGGCCUCGCCCUCGGCCGCCCGCCCCAAGGCUCUCGCCCUCGCCCGCCGCGCCGGCUCGCGUCACGCCAUGCUCCGCCCGCGGGACACGGCCACCGCGCCGUUGGACGUGGCCACAUCGUGGCUGCGCGGAGACGAUGCUCGCCGCCUGGGCCCUCUUCCAGCUCUGCCAACGGCUGCUUUCGGCCUCGCCUUCGUCGUUGCCUCUUGGUCCUCGGCGUGCCGCUCUCUAGCCCGUCGUCGAGCCGCCGGGGCCGCUGCACCGGCGCAUGGAGCUCGACCACUCUCGGACUCGCGAAUGACGCGACUUCAGGCUCCAGCCUCCCUCGUGGAUCUUCCCCAAAGGAGGAAGAUGGGGCGCCCGGCCACUCCACGAGUCGUCGGUGAUGCAUCUGCCAUGGGCGGCUUUCGCGUGUGUUGGUCUCGGAUGCAUCGCGUGAUUUGGGGGAUGGAUGAUACUGGGAUUUCUCUGGUCGCUCCCGCCUCUAGAUCCGGCCGCCCCACGCGCCCCUCGGCCUCGCCUCCACCUUUGACCACCGUCGCGACGCUCGCCAGCGCCGGAGCCGCCGUCGACGGACCGGCCUCCUCCUCAGCCAGAUCGGGACCGGACCGUGAGGCCUGGACCAGUGGAGGACAGGGCUUUUUUGAAAAGACGAAACGUUUUUUCCACUUAAUGAAGGCCCGCGGGUUGAUUUUAAAAUAACAGAGGGAUGUUUUUGUAAAACCGCCACGACGGACUACAGAAACCNAUCACAAGGACACGUGAUAUUUGGGCCAAAUGAGGCCCAUUUCCAGCCCAGGAGCACCCAUUCCCUCUCCUCUCUGCUCACAGACAGAAAACCCUAGGGACGUCAGUUAUAUAACAUCUCAUUCUCGCCUAGCGCGCCGCCGCCGCCGCCGCCCGCACAGCACAGCCGCCACCGCCCGCCGCCGUCGAGGAAGAAGAAGAAGAAGAAGAGAGGAGCGACAAAUCCAAAUCCGGCGAGGAUGAAGACGAUCCUUGCGUCGGAGACGAUGGAUAUCCCGGAGGAGGUGACGGUGAAGGUGUCUGCGAAGAUGAUCUCGGUGACGGGUCCCCGGGGCACCCUGACCCGCAACUUCAAGCACCUCAACCUCGACUUCCAGCUGCAGGAUGGCGGCCGGAAGCUCAAGGUUGACGCCUGGUUCGGCACCCGCCGCACCAUGGCCGCCAUCCGCACCGCCAUCUCCCACGUCCAGAACCUCAUCACCGGCGUCACCAAGGGCUUCCGCUACAAGAUGCGCUUCGUCUACGCCCACUUCCCCAUCAACGCAUCCAUCACCGCAGCCAACCG